rnacentral:tRNA from 3 species
CGGGCUGUGGCGCAGCUUGGUAGCGCGUCUGCUUUGGGAGCAGAAUGUCGCAGGUUCAAAUCCUGUCAGCCCGACGA